UACGUAGGGGGCAAGCGUUGUCCGGAAUCAUUGGGCGUAAAGCGCGCGUAGGCGGUCAGGUAAGUCCGGUGUGAAAGUCAUAGGCUCAACCUAUGGAUGCCGCUGGAAACUGCCUGACUUGAGUCCGGGAGGGGCGAGUGGAAUUCCUGGUGUAGCGGUGGAAUGCGCAGAUAUCAGGAGGAACACCAAUAGCGAAGGCAGCUCGCUGGGACGGUACUGACGCUGAGGCGCGAAAGCGUGGGGAGCGAACAGG
rnacentral:rRNA from 1 species